CGGUUAAAAAGCUCGUAGUUGGAUUUCUGCCGAGGACGUCCGGUCCGCCCUCUGGGUGAGUACAUGGCACGGCCUGGGCAUCUUCUUGGGGAACGUAUCUGCACUUGACUGUGUGGUGCGGUAUCCAGGACUUUUACUUUGAGGAAAUUAGAGUGUUUCAAGCAGGCACACGCCUUGAAUACAUUAGCAUGGAAUAAUAAGAUAGGACCUCGGUUCUAUUUUGUUGGUUUCUAGAGCUGAGGUAAUGAUUAAUAGGGACAAUUGGGGGUAUUCGAAUUAACGCGUCAGAGGUGGAAUUCUUGGAUUGCGUUACGACGAACUACUGCGAAAGCAUUUACCAAGGAUGUUUUCAUUGAUCAAGAACGAAAGUCAGGGGAUCGAAGACGAUUAGAUACCGUCGUAGUCUUGACCAUAAACUAUGCCGACUAGAGAUUGGAGGUUCGCUCUUUUUACGGCUCCUUCAGCAUCUUAUGAGAAAUCAAAGUUUUUGGGUUCCGGGGGGAGUAUGGUCGCAAGGCUGAAACUUAAAGGAAUUGACGGAAGGGCACCACCAGGAGUGGAGCC
rnacentral:rRNA from 1 species